rnacentral:lncRNA from 12 species
GUUAUAUUCCAAUAAAACUUUAUUUAUGGACACUGAAAUGUUGAAUUUCAUGUACAUUUCCCAUAUCAUUACAUAUGGUUCUUUUGACUUUUUUCAACCCUGCGAAAAUGUAGAAACCAUUUUGAGCUCCCCGGCUGUACAAAGCUAUGUAGCAGGAUAAAUUUAGUAUGCCGACCAUUGUGUGGUAAUGUCAGAUGUACUUUAUACAUAUAAGUUCUGAAUUUUCAUGAGCUUCAAUUUAUAUCUCUUCUUUUGUCAUUAAUGCUUUUUAUUCCUAUAUGAGAAAUCUUUGCUUAUUCCAAGUUCCUGAAUAUGUUCUCCUUUGCUUUAUCCUAAAAGCUGUGUUUUGUCAUUCAUUUUUAUGUCAAUGAUUCAUCUAGGAUUAAGUUUCAUGUAUGGGGCAAAGUAGAAGUUUUACACUUUUGUUUCUAUGUACUUGAGUUAUCACAUACCUUUUCCAACUUAAUAAUGUAGCCAUGACUUAUCUGCUGCAUGAAACUUUCCUUGAUGGCUGAAUGUGGAGCUUACAACUGUCAGCUAGUCAUUCAUUCAACAACUCCUAUUAAAGGCUUAUUAUGUACCAUGCCAGACACGAAGGAGAUGAUUGUCUUUUGGAGAAACCAACUAAGUCUCUGCAGUAAAAUGUGGCACCUGGAUGCUCCCCGCUCCAAAACUGUCUUGGAGAUUCCAGAAGAUAGCAAUUUUGCCUCUCUUUGCCAGCCGGAUUUGUUGCACAGCCUGGACUUGAACUUAGUUCAGCAGACACCAAACCCCUGUACUGAGGAGAGGCCGUGGAGCUGAAAAUCCAUAGAGCUGACUAGUUUUACUAACUAUAACACCAAAUCAGACUGUGAUCAGUGCCACAAGCCUGUUAUAAACAAAGCAUUGAAGGUGAAGUUAAUUCUGUCUGAGGGUCAAGGAAGGGCUCAGAGGGAAGAUGACAUUUCAGGGGACUCUAGAGCAAGAGAAGCAUUUUGCCAGCUAGAGACGGGAUAGAGGUGCAUCAUAACCAGAGGGAGUAGGAGGGCAGGGGUGUGAAGUGCCAAAGGACUGUCCUAGAAAGGCCAAGUGGUUGAUGGUGGCUGGAUAUGGGGGCUACUGAACCCCAUAAAGAGUCAGUGUAAAUGUAUCAAAAAGCUACAACUAUUUCUAUUUCUGGAUUCACAAAAAGAGACACCUGGAAUAAAUACCCAUUUAUCGUCA